rnacentral:rRNA from 1 species
AGUGAACGCUGGCGGUAGGCCUAACACAUGCAAGUCGAACGGCAGCACAGUAAGAGCUUGCUCUUACGGGUGGCGAGUGGCGGACGGGUGCGGAAUACAUCGGAAUCUACUUUUUCGUGGGGGAUAACGUAGGGAAACUUACGCUAAUACCGCAUACGACCUACGGGUGAAAGCAGGGGACCUUCGGACCUUGCGCGAUUGAAUGAGCCGAUGUCGGAUUAGCUAGUUGGCGGGGUAAAGGCCCACCAAGGCGACGAUCCGUAGCUGGUCUGAGAGGAUGAUCAGCCACACUGGAACUGAGACACGGUCCAGACUCCUACGGGAGGCAGCAGUGGGGAAUAUUGGACAAUGGGCGAAAGCCUGAUCCAGCCAUACCGCGUGGGUGAAGAAGGCCUUCGGGUUGUAAAGCCCUUUUGUUGGGAAAGAAAAGCAGCAGGUUAAUACCCCGCUGUUCUGACGGUACCCAAAGAAUAAGCACCGGCUAACUUCGUG